GGCAAGGUAGUCGCGGUGCAGAAACAACCAGGAGGUUGGCUUAGAAGCAGCCAUCCUUUAAAGAAAGCGUAACAGCUCACUGGUCUAAAUAAGGGUUCCUGCGGCGAAGAUGUAACGGGGCUCAAGACGUGCACCGAAGCUUAGGGUGUGGAUUUAUCCACGCGGUAGCGGAGCGUUCCGUAAGCGAGUGAAGCGGGAGGGUAACCGACCGUGGACGUAUCGGAAGUGCGAAUGCUGAC
rnacentral:rRNA from 1 species